rnacentral:rRNA from 1 species
AUUGAACGCUGGCGGCAUGCCUUACACAUGCAAGUCGAACGGCAGCACGGGAGCAAUCCUGGUGGCGAGUGGCGAACGGGUGAGUAAUGUAUCGGAACGUGCCCAGUCGUGGGGGAUAACGCAGCGAAAGCUGUGCUAAUACCGCAUACGAUCUAUGGAUGAAAGCGGGGGAUCGCAAGACCUCGCGCGAUUGGAGCGGCCGAUAUCAGAUUAGCUAGUUGGUGGGGUAAAGGCUCACCAAGGCGACGAUCUGUAGCUGGUCUGAGAGGACGACCAGCCACACUGGAACUGAGACACGGUCCAGACUCCUACGGGAGGCAGCAGUGGGGAAUUUUGGACAAUGGGCGCAAGCCUGAUCCAGCAAUGCCGCGUGCAGGAUGAAGGCCUUCGGGUUGUAAACUGCUUUUGUACGGAGCGAAAAGGCUUUCUCUAAUACAGGAGGCUCAUGACGGUACCGUAAGAAUAAGCACCGGCUAACUACGUGCCAGCCGCCGCAGUAAGAC